UUGUCCCUAGUGGUCUGGUUUUAACAACUCUUCAUGCUUAUGAAUGGCUUGAUGAUGGCUUCUUUAUAAAUUCAAUUUCUGUUUAGGCAUUCUUAUUCCUUACAAUAUGUUUAUUUUAGAAUGUUCAUCGGACAUCAAAAAAGCAGACGAGACUGGAAAACAAAUGCUUGCGAUAGAUGUAUUUGCUGCAGGCCUUCAUUACUUAAAGGACCACAUGAUGCAAUCUUGCAGUGACAGAAUGUGUAGUAGUAGCGUUGAUAUACAAGAUGUAAGAUUUUCUUUCAAUCCCGGCUAUAUGGGACGACGGUGCCAAACAAUUCAUGAGGGAAGCCGCGAUAAAGGCCGGAAUUCCGGGAGAAAACCUACUUCUUGCACUUGAACCAGAGGCAGUGUCUAUGUUUUGUAAAUAUCUACCAGUUGAACGGAUGAUUGGCACCGCUGAUAGAAAGAUUACGUGUUAUCAAAAUACCUUGUUCUUGAUGCAGGCGGUGGAACUGUUGAUAUUACGGUUCAUGAGGUACUUCCGGGAGAGAAACUGAGAGAACUCUUCAAGGCUAACGGCGGAGCCACGGGUGGAACAACAAUUGAUGAAGCUUUCCUGUCAUUCAUACAGAAAAUUACAGGAAGCGAGGUAAUGAACCGAUUCCGCGAAGAACACAAGGAUGAUUUUAUAGAUCUUCUGGGGGAAUUCGAGGUGAAGAAGCGUACUGUGCAGCCAGAAAUAGAAUCCAAGAUCACGUUUAGGAUACCUAUAACGCUUCACGAACUGUACAGAGAUGUAUGUAUGGGGGAGAUCAGGGACGCUGUACGGAAAAACCAAGAUUUAUCGGGGAAGGUAACUUUUGCGGGCGAUAAAAUGAGGGUUGAUGCUGACGUCGUGAAAUCAUUGUUUAGCGAUACAAAUAAGAAAAUCACUAAUUGUUCCACAUGAAGCUGGACUUGCAGUGCUGAAAGGAGCCGUGAUUUUUGGACAUAAUAGUUCUGUUAUAACAUCAAGAAUCGCAAAAUAUACAUAUGGAAUGAAAUGCCAUAAGCCAUUUAAUCCUUCGAUUCAUCCUAGAGAACGAAGUGUGAUGAAGAAAGAUGGAGAGCAAACUGUUCGUGGUUGCUUUGACAAAUUGGUAGAAAUAGGCCAGGCAGUAUCCCCGGAGAAGCAACGAUUGGGAAGUCAUAUUCACCAACAGGUGGACAGAGCGGUUUUCGAAUAAAGUUAUAUGCAUCGCCAAGAAAGGAAUCGUUAUUUGUAGGUGAACCAGAUUGUAUCCGUAUUGGAGAUGUAACUGUCAGUUGCCUCGACAGGAAGGGCGUAUCGGUUGUGCAACCUGGGGGUAACAGCAGUGCAUAACACAACUGGAGAGCAAACACGAGCAUUCUUUGAUUUUCUCGAAUGACAAUGUGACAGUGCUCGACGAAAACAGUAUCUUAUGUUUUGAAGACAGUUUCUGCGUCUGUUUAUCGUAAGGUACUUUUUAGUUAUCAAACAAUUCUUUGGUGGCAUUCUAUGUUUCCAAAGGAUCUUUUUACAGAUUUUAUCAAGAUAAGUUAAAACCUUCAGACACUGUCACGUAUUUGCGACUUAUAAAACUAGGAUUUUGUUUAACUGCUUGCACUUUCUGGUAAAAUGUUUGUAUUUAAACUAAACUUAAUGACAAAAUUGCCCAUGUUACAUGAACAGAACAUCAAAAUUAAAGGGAAUGUAUGGAAUAGAGGUGAAUCUAGGUUAAAAUUAUCCUAUACGACUUCAUACUUAACAUACAUUUGAAAACAGUUUCUUAUUAUAUGCCAUUCAUGGCGGACGUUUUAAGGAUUUGGAAGAAAUGAUUGCCGUUAAGUUUUUUUUAAUAAAUGUUGUCGAUAUGUUUGCAGACGCAUGUCGAAGCUACGUUAAUAAUGUUUUCGUUUUUUUUUUCACAUAUUCAACACUGCAGUUAAGACUAAGUCAAUUCACAUUGAUUAUAUACACUGCUAUCGUAAAUACAACGCAUCCAUUUUAAAAUCAUCUUACAGAUUUUAUAAGAAGCUAAAAGAAAAGUUAUAUCUUAUUCUGAAAAGAAGGUCACCCAUAUACUAGAAAUUAAGGAGCAAAAUGAAAGUUUUAGCGUCUGCAAUAUUGUAUAAAAUAUCGCAUUUGGAUAUCAGUGAACAUUGCUGCUGAUAGAUGUUGCUAUAUCAUCUGAAAAAUAAUAAAUAACGUGAUUUCUGAUGAUGGCAAUGUUGA
rnacentral:lncRNA from 1 species